CAGUCGCCACGGUAAUACAGAGGGUGCGAGCGUUAAUCGGAUUUACUGGGCGUAAAGCGUGCGUAGGCGGCUUCUUAAGUCGGAUGUGAAAUCCCUGAGCUUAACUUAGGAAUUGCAUUCGAUACUGGGAAGCUAGAGUAUGGGAGAGGAUGGUAGAAUUCCAGGUGUAGCGGUGAAAUGCGUAGAGAUCUGGAGGAAUACCGAUGGCGAAGGCAGCCAUCUGGCCUAAUACUGACGCUGAGGUACGAAAGCAUGGGGAGCAAACAGGAUUAGAGACCCCCGUAGUCCCUGUCUCUUAUAC
rnacentral:rRNA from 1 species